rnacentral:rRNA from 1 species
GAUGAACGCUGGCGGCGUGCCUAAUACAUGCAAGUCGAGCGAACAGAUAAGGAGCUUGCUCCUUUGACGUUAGCGGCGGACGGGUGAGUAACACGUGGGUAACCUACCUAUAAGACUGGGAUAACUUCGGGAAACCGGAGCUAAUACCGGAUAACAUUUGGAACCGCAUGGUUCUAAAGUGAAAGAUGGUUUUGCUAUCACUUAUAGAUGGACCCGCGCCGUAUUAGCUAGUUGGUAAGGUAACGGCUUACCAAGGCGACGAUACGUAGCAGACCUGAGAGGGUGAUCGGCCACACUGGAACUGAGACACGGUCCAGACUCCUACGGGAGGCAGCAGUAGGGAAUCUUCCGCAAUGGGCGAAAGCCUGACGGAGCAACGCCGCGUGAGUGAUGAAGGGUUUCGGCUCGUAAAACUCUGUUAUUAGGGAAGAACAAAUGUGUAAGUAACUGUGCACGUCUUGACGGUACCUAAUCAGAAAGCCACGGCUAACUACGUG